GUCUACGGCCAUGCCACCCUGAACAAGCCUGAUCCCAUCUGAUCUCAGAAGCUAAGCAGGGUUGGGCCUGAUUAGUACUUGGAUGGGAGACCACCUAGGAAGACUAGGUGCUGUAGGUG
rnacentral:rRNA from 1 species